AUGGGGAAAAUACAGUGGUGCCCCAAAAACUGUAGACUAUUAGGAUUGCAUGGAUUACACCCAAAACCCAGCAGCUUAAAGCAGCAUACACGCCUUCCCCUCUGUUUCCCAGUUUCCGAGGGUCAGGAGUCUGGGAAGUUGCUCUCAGGCUGCUUGCUGCGGCUCAGGAUCUCUGAUGAGGCCUCGCUGCGGCCCUUUCCUAGCUGCACCGGGUCUGGCCAUCCAUGGCCGACUCACUCGCUGGUUGUCGCCAGACCUCAGCUCUUGCUGACUUUUGAUUUAGGGCUUCGGUUCCCAACCAGGUGGGGCUCUCUAGGAGAGAACAGCUCAAAAACAACCCUCUGGCUUCCCCCAGAGCAAGUGAUAGGAGACAGAAAGAGGGAGCUAGAGAGAGCCUUGAAGGUGGACGCCGCAGUCUUCAUUCAAUCAAUCUCCCCAGGAACGCCCUGCAGGCCCAGGACAAUGGGUCUCAGAAACCCCCGUUCCUUCCCAGGAAAGGAACAAUGA
rnacentral:lncRNA from 1 species